rnacentral:rRNA from 1 species
AUUGAACGCUGGCGGCAGGCUUAACACAUGCAAGUCGAGCGGGGUGAUGGUGCUUGCACUAUCACUUAGCGGCGGACGGGUGAGUAAUGCUUAGGAAUCUGCCUAUUAGUGGGGGACAACAUCUCGAAAGGGAUGCUAAUACCGCAUACGUCCUACGGGAGAAAGCAGGGGAUCACUUGUGACCUUGCGCUAAUAGAUGAGCCUAAGUCGGAUUAGCUAGUUGGUGGGGUAAAGGCCUACCAAGGCGACGAUCUGUAGCGGGUCUGAGAGGAUGAUCCGCCACACUGGGACUGAGACACGGCCCAGACUCCUACGGGAGGCAGCAGUGGGGAAUAUUGGACAAUGGGGUGAACCCUGAUCCAGCCAUGCCGCGUGUGUGAAGAAGGCCUUAUGGUUGUAAAGCACUUUAAGCGAGGAGGAGGCUCUUUUGGUUAAUACCCAAGAUGAGCGGACGUUACUCGCAGAAUAAGCACCGGCUAACUCUGUGCCAGCAGCCGCGGUAAAAC